CUUAUGGUUAUGUAGAGACGAUGGCUGAUGCUCAUCAAAUGUCAGUUGCUUGGCUUUAUAAGAGGAUGAAGAUUAGCAAGGCAUCAGGAUCACCCCAAGGUAUUGGAGGUGGAUGGCACUAGAGGCAAGCUGCAGUUGGACAAACAAGAGACUGACAGAGCAUUUUGUAGACAAUGAGUCCUGAUUUGUAGCUAAACAUGUCAUGGC